rnacentral:rRNA from 1 species
GACGAACCGAGCGAACGUUGUUCGGAAUCACUGGGCUUAAAGGGCGCGUAGGCGGGUUCGCAAGUCUGUGGUGAAAUCCUCCGGCUCAACCGGAGAACUGCCUCGGAUACUGCGGGUCUCGAGGGUGAUAGGGGUAUGCGGAACUAUCGGUGGAGCGGUGAAAUGCGUUGAUAUCGAUAGGAACUCCGGUGGCGAAGGCGGCAUACUGGAUCACUUCUGACGCUGAGGCGCGAAAGCCAGGGGAGCAAACAGG